AGGCUCGGCAUGCCACCUAUGGCAUCCGUAAGUGCUUCCUCUUCCUGCUGCAGUGCCAGCUGACUCUUGUGGUCAUCCAGUUCCUUUCUUGCCUGGUCCAGCUGCCGCCACUCCUGAGUACCACCGACAUCCUGUGGCUGUCCUGCUUUUGCUACCCUCUGCUCAGCAUCUCUCUGCUGGGGAAGCCCCCCCAUAGCUCUAUCAUGUCUAUGGCAACGGGGAAAAACCUCCAGUCCAUUCCCAAGAAGACCCAGCACUACUUCCUGCUCUGCUUCCUGCUCAAGUUCAGCCUCACCAUCAGCUCCUGCCUCAUCUGCUUUGGCUUCACACUGCAGAGCUUCUGUGACAGCUCCCGGGACCGCAACCUCACCAACUGCUCCUCCGUCAUGCUGCCCAGCAACGACGACAGGGCUCCAGCCUGGUUUGAGGACUUUGCCAAUGGACUGCUGUCGGCUCAGAAGCUCACGGCCGCCCUGAUUGUCCUGCACACUGUCUUCAUUUCCAUCACCCAUGUGCAUCGCACCAAGCCCCUGUGGAGAAAGAGCCCCUUGACCAACCUCUGGUGGGCCGUGACAGUGCCUGUGGUGUGAGUAUUGCUAGGAUGGAGGGCGGAGUGUGGGCUGGGGAGGAGAGGGCCUUCUGCAGGGCUAGGAUUGGAGGGCGGGACCGGGGCCAGAGGUUUAACUGUACCCUGCCUGAGCUAACUGUUGUACUGGGAAGAGCAGGGAAGGAAGCAAGCAGUGUCAGGUUCACACGGGGCCGCCACCUCCUGCAGGCUGCUGGGUCAGGUGGUCCAGACGGCUGUGG
rnacentral:sRNA from 1 species